AGGCACUGGGUAUGAGUUUGGGGCUCCUGGGGCCUGGGAGAAGGGGCUGAGUAUCUGGGUUUAUGGGGGACGAGGAACUCCUCUAGUCUCGUGUGUGUGUGUGUGUGUGUGUGUGUCUGAGUUGCACUCCUGUGUACUCUUUUAGAUUACCCUACUAGAAUCUUACACCAAAAAUACCUGUUAAUGGCUAACGGUAAGAUUGUGUAAUUUGUGGAGUCCAGUGCAACAUGAAAAUUCAGGGUCCCUUUUUCAAAAAUGAAUAAGAAUGUCAAGACAGCAACAACAGAGCAUUAAACCAAGCCCAGGACCCUGCUAAACUUGGGGCCCUGGCUCUGGAACCAAAACACAGAAAGGGCAGGGCAUGUGGUUGGGCUCCAGGAUGACAGAAAAUGGGAUCUGGACCCUCCAGGUCUCAGGUCUCUCCUCUUCUUUU
rnacentral:lncRNA from 10 species